CUAUGCGCCUUGCCAGCCCGCUCAGGUGUGCCGCGCCGCGGUAAUACAGAGGUCUCAAGCGUUGUUCGGAAUCACUGGGCGUAAAGCGUGCGUAGGCGGUUUCGUAAGUCGUGUGUGAAAGGCGGGGGCUCAACCCCCGGACUGCACAUGAUACUGCGAGACUAGAGUAAUGGAGGGGGAACCGGAAUUCUCGGUGUAGCAGUGAAAUGCGUAGAUAUCGAGAGGAACACUCGUGGCGAAGGCGGGUUCCUGGACAUUAACUGACGCUGAGGCACGAAGGCCAGGGGAGCGAAAGGG
rnacentral:rRNA from 1 species